rnacentral:rRNA from 1 species
CCGAAGCUGUGAACCGAAGCCCCAGUAAACGGCGGCCGUAACUAUAACGGUCCUAAGGUAGCGAAAUUCCUUGUCAGGUAAAUUCUGACCCGCACGAAUGGCGUAACGACUUGGGCGCUGUCUCAACGAGAGAUCCGGUGAAAUUUUAAUACCUGUGAAGAUGCAGGUUACCCGCGACAAGACGGAAAGACCCCAUGGAGCUUUACUGCAGCUUGAUAUUGGACUUUGGUACGAUCUGUACAGGAUAGGUGGGAGCCUGAGAAGCAUGAGCGCCAGCUUGUGUGGAGGCGACGUUGGGAUACCACCCUGAUCGUAUCGGAGUUCUAACUUGGUACCGUAAUCCGGUACGAGGACAGUGUCAGGUGGGCAGUUUGACUGGGGCGGUCGCCUCCUAAAGCGUAACGGAGGCGCCCCAAGGUUCCCUCAGAAUGGUUGGAAAUCAUUCGAAGAGUGCAAAGGCAUAAGGGAGCUUGACUGCGAGACAAACAGGUCGAGCAGGGACGAAAGUCGGGCUUAGUGAUCCGGUGGUACCGAAUGGAAGGGCCAUCGCUCAACGGAUAAAAGCUACCCUGGGGAUAACAGGCUUAUCUCCCCCAAGAGUCCACAUCGACGGGGAGGUUUGGCACCUCGAUGUCGGCUCAUCGCAUCCUGGGGCUGAAGUAGGUCCCAAGGGUUGGGCUGUUCGCCCAUUAAAGCGGUACGCGAGCUGGGUUCAGAACGUCGUGAGACAGUUCGGUCCCUAUCUGUCGCGGGCGUAGGAAAUUUGAGAGGAGCUGUCCUUAGUACGAGAGGACCGGGAUGGACGUACCGCUGGUGUACCAGUUGUUCCGCCAGGAGCACGGCUGGAUAGCCAAGUACGGAAGGGAUAAGCGCUGAAAGCAUCUAAGCGUGAAGCCCCCCUCAAGAUGAGAUUUCCCAGUAUGUAAGACCCCUUGUAGACGACGAGGUUGAUAGGUUCGGGGUGGAAGCGCGGCAACGCGUGCAGCUGACGAAUACUAAUCGGUCGAGGGCUUAUCCAA